AUGGUCCGCACAAUGACCGAAGGCAUCGUGAAUAGGUUUUUGAGCUCCGCGAAGGCCGAGAUGCUUCAAAAGAACGAGACGGAGAUAAGAUGUCCGUGUCGAAGAUGCAAGCUGAAGAGCCUUAUUGCGGACCCGGAUUUCGGGCAGGUGCGGGACCAUCUGCUCUUGCGUGGUUUCAUGGAUCGCUAUCGGUGGCAAGGUGAUGAAGAUGACUAUGAAGUCGUCCAUGGGGGCCGGGCAAGAAAUGAGGAAGGGCAACAAGACAAGUACCACCUCGGCGAGGGUGGGCGAGAAGACGAAGAAUCUCCAGGACAUGAUCACGACGGUGAUGUUGUGCACAGUCAUCAUGUAAAAGAUGUCGUACAUGAUGAUGAGGAAGUUCAAGACGAAGGUCAUGGUCAUGAAGAUGAAGAUGCCGGAGCAGACGACGAUGGAGGCUGGGUGCAGGACCCUCAUAUUCAAGAGCUGCUUCUCAAGCAGACGGAUAACGCAAGAGCUGCCGUCCGAGAGAAAGCCAAGCUGGAUCAACUAGAGAUAGACGCGGUUACUCCAUUAUAUGAAGGAUAUAGGCCCGAGGAUACCCGCCUGAAAGUAACGCUCAUGGCUCUGGAGAUGAAGGUAAAACACAAAAUGACCGAAGCAUGCUUCAACGAGAACAUGUCAUACUGGCACGAACAUCUUCCCCAGGGGAACAAGUGCCCGACCAGUUUCGAGGAGGCGAAGAAAAUCGUGUGUCCUCUGGAUUUACCGCACGUGAAAUACCAUGUGUGCGUGAACAAUUUCAUCAUUUACCGGGACGAGCAUGCGGAGUCUACCAUAUGUCCGGUGUGCGGCGUCACUCGAUACAAGAAGAGGAAGAAAGCUCCUCGAAAAUCAGUGUGGUACUUUCCGAUCACUCCUCGUCUGCAGCGGUAUUUCACGGACCCUAAGGUAGCAAAGCUCCUGCGUUGGCACGCGGAUAGGGAGGAGAAGAAGCGGGAAGAUGACGGAAAUGAUCCGGAGAUAAAUAAAAAAGACAAGAUGUUGAGUCACCCUAAGGAUGCGAGCCAGUGGCAAGUGUUGAACUUCGAAUGCCCAGAAUUUGGAAGGAUCCAAGGAACAUCAUGCUGGGCGCGAGCACCGAUGGAGUCAAUCCGUUUGGCAGCCAGAGAAGCACACAUAGCACCUGGCCUGUGUUUGUGUGGAUGUACAACCUUCCCCCUGGUUGUGCAUGAAGAGGAAGUACAUUCACAUGAGUAUGCUAACUGA
rnacentral:rRNA from 1 species